GCAGACUGCAGCCCCCUCCCCGGGCCGCUGUGCCUCUGUGGGACACCCACUGCACGAGGCCAGGCCGGGGCUCAGAGCAUCGGGCACCACGGUCCCCGCCUCCCAGAGCCUCAGCCAGCAGGACGUGGACGAGGAAGGAGCACAGACAGCGUGCUGUGGCUGGUGGGGCGGUAGAGCGCUGGGGUCCUUGGGGAGCCGUGCAGGGCCCAGCGCCUCGGGGAUGGCGGCCUGGUGGCUCCCGCCUGCUGGCGGCAUCCAGUUCCAGAAGCAGCUUCCGAAUGUGGCUUCACCUCUGACAGCGUUUCUGAGCCGCGUUCCCGGCCGCCUCAUCCCUUGGGAGGUGAGCAGGCGACGCUCGAGUCCGCAGCACCGCGCUCGGGCCCUCUCCGGAGACCUCAGUGGAGCCCUCGCUGUACCUGCCCAUGGCCACUGACUAAAACAUGGGAUAAAGGAAGAGCGAGAAUGGUGACACCUUGGGACUCCAAGGGUCAGUUAUUUCCAAUCAGAGGAC
rnacentral:lncRNA from 1 species